rnacentral:lncRNA from 1 species
UUAAUGCAAAGCCAUUCACUUGAUCCAUGAUCAAGAUGAAUUAGAUUUGAAUCAAGGAAGAUUAAACCUCCAUGUAUCAAUGCUAACCACCAAUCUUUAACUCAUUGAUAAAAAAAAAAAAAGAAGCAGAAGAAGAAGAUGAAGAGUUAAAGUGCAUUAAUUGAAAUGGAAUAAGAUAAUCAACAAGCAUUGACCAAUGAUAGAGAAGAUCAAG